rnacentral:rRNA from 1 species
CCUACGGGGGGCAGCAGUGGGGAAUAUUGCACAAUGGGCGAAAGCCUGAUGCAGCAACGCCGCGUGAGGGACGACGGCCUUCGGGUUGAAACCUCUUUUAGUAGGGAAGCGGUACCUGCAGAAAAAGCACCGGCUAACUACGUGCCAGCAGCCGCGGUAAUACGUAGGGUGCAAGCGUUGUCCGGAAUUAUUGGGCGUAAAGAGCUCGUAGGCGGUUUGUCGCGUCUGCUGUGAAAUCCCGAGGCUCAACCUCGGGUCUGCAGUGGGUACGGGCAGAAUAGAGUGCGGUAGGGGAGAUUGGAAUUCCUGGUGUAGCGGUGGAAUGCGCAGAUAUCAGGAGGAACACAGAUGGCGAAGGCAGAUCUCUGGGCCGUACUGACGCUGAGGAGCGAAAGCAUGGGGAGCGAACAGGAUUAGAUACCCUAGUAGUC